GUAGGUGGCAAGCGUUGUCCGGAAUUAUUGGGCGUAAAGCGCGCGCAGGCGGUUCUUUAAGUCUGAUGUGAAAGCCCACGGCUCAACCGUGGAGGGUCAUGGAAACUGGAGAACUUGAGUACAGAAGAGGAAAGCGGAAUUCCACGUGUAGCGGUGAAAUGCGUAGAGAUGUGGAGGAACACCAGUGGCGAAGGCGGCUUUCUGGUCUGUAACUGACGCUGAGGCGCGAAAGCGUGGGGGAGCAAACAGGAUUAGAUACCCUGGUAGUCCACGCCGUAAACGAUGAGUGCUAAGUGUUAGGGGGUUUCCGCCCCUUAGUGCUGCAGCUAACGCAUUAAGCACUCCGCCUGGGAGUACGGCCGCAAGGCUG
rnacentral:rRNA from 1 species